AUAUGUUUUUAAAUUUUGAUUUUUAAUUUUAAUGAAAAUAUUGCUCUUUCCUAAAACCAACUCGAGAUCUUAGUAGCAAUAUUGGAUAUUUCUUAGCAAACAUAUAUUCUAUAGUCUCGAUCAGCAAAAGUUUCAUAACUCCUUGAUAAGCGAACAUUUUUAGUCUUUGCCGUGUUGUGUCCUGUAAUAGAUCUUUGUUUAGGCAUG